CGAGGUGGAGCAAAUCCCAAAAAUAACGUCUCAGUUCGGAUUGUAGUCUGCAACUCGACUACAUGAAGCUGGAAUCGCUAGUAAUCGCGAAUCAGAAUGUCGCGGUGAAUACGUUCCCGGGUCUUGUACACACCGCCCGUCACACCAUGGGAGUCAGCAACGCCCGAAGCCGGUGACCCAACCGAAAGGAGGGAGCCGUCGAAGGUGGGGCCGAUAACUGGGGUGAAGUCGUAACAAGGUAUC
rnacentral:rRNA from 1 species